rnacentral:misc_RNA from 1 species
UCCGGUUUGUCACCGGCAGUCCCCCUAGAGUGCCCAACUGAAUGAUGGCAACUAAGGGCGAGGGUUGCGCUCGUUGCGGGACUUAACCCAACAUCUCACGACACGAGCUGACGACAGCCAUGCAGCACCUGUGUGCAGGUCCCCGAAGGGAAGGAAUCCAUCUCUGGAAGCCGUCCUGCCAUGUCAAGGGCUGGUAAGGUUCUGCGCGUUGCUUCGAAUUGAACCACAUGCUCCACCGCUUGUGCGGGCCCCCGCCAAUUCCUUUGAGUUUUAAUCUUGCGACCGUACUCCCCAGGCGGAAUGCUUAAUGCGUUAGCUGCGCCACCGACGGCAUCGAAUUAAUCCACAUAAUCCACCGCUUGUGCGGGUC